UUGUUGGUUAACAUAAUAACUAAAACUUAGCUCAUAUAAUUAAUAUGGAAUCGACACCUAAUUAAAAGGAAGUCAUUCUAUUUCUCAUGGAAAAAUAGGCUAGGUUGUUGAUGAUGUAUAUAAAACUAAACGAGAAAAAAAAAUGUAGGAAAGAGGAAAAUAAGUUUUACAUUGAUGUAUAAAUUAAGCACAGAUACAAGAAUGGUUUAUAUAUCCA
rnacentral:lncRNA from 1 species